CUCUCUGUUUUAGGGUUCUGUUAUCAGAAGCUUGUGUUUUUUUCCCUGAAAACAGUUAUGAUAUGGCUCUUUGGGUUUGCGAUUGUUUAUUAGAUUCUUGUUAGGGUUUCUUCGAACCGAAAGAGAUUGUUCUUUAUCUGGGCACUGGUUUUCAAGGGCUGUAGGUGACUGAGUGAUAAGGUACGGAGAAAUGAAAUCUUGGUCGUGGAUCCUUUUAGGAUGGUGGAAUUUGGGCGUUCCGAGGUAGUUGUAUCUGUUCUUGAGAUCGAAAAAGGGUGCUUCUGAAGCGCUGGCUAAUUAUUCAAGGGGUUUUUUCCCUAUCAUAUAUUUUACACACAGAAACAGGUAGAGGGCGUUAAAUAUUCAAAGUGGCUUCCGAGAAGAUUGAAAGAUUUUGGCUCUGCAUAAGUCUCUUUAAAUUAGUGCUUUCAGGACUGUUAGUGUUAUGAGGAUAGUGAUGGAUCAUGGCAUCAAUUUUCCUCAUGGAGGAGUUUUUCUGCAGUCUUUUUGCAAUCAACAUGUAGUUUCUUUUCAACCAAAGGAUGUAAAGAGCACAACCAAUGUUUUUCUUGGUGACAUGAACACUUCAGGUGGAAUAAUUGCAACGACAGGGAUAUUAUUGACUGGGAAUGCCAGCACUCCAAACAAUAUUUCUUCCAUGAUUUUGACAGGUAAUCUGCCAAGCAAUAUCCUUCUCGAUCCAUUACCUGGACUUGAGCAUCUCGCAGCGUUUGCUGUUGAUUGGUCCUGUGAGGAAUUGGAAGUGUUGAAACAUGGACUUGUCAUGUUUGCUAGUGAACCUACUAUCAUGAAGUAUAUCAAGAUAGCAGCUAGACUUUCCGAGAAGACUGUGAGAGAUGUUGCGAUAAGGUGCCGAUGGAUGACAAGGAAGGAGAAUGGUAAACAACAUAAAUCUGAAGACUUUUAUGCUGGAAAGAAAAUCAAAGACAGAAAGGAGAAGAUUAUAGGUUGUUCUUCAAUGGUCAAUAUGCACUAUAAUCAACCGGACUGUGAAGCUGCCUGUUCUGUCAUGAUGUGUAAUGGGAACCAUAUGAAUCAGUUCUCAUCUGAAGCAUUCCCAGUGAUUGACAGCAGAACAAUGAAUAUUCUGGAAGACAAUGCAAAACUUCUUCACCAGAUUGCAGUUAACAGUGAAAAUAAUGAGAUACAAAAUAACAUCGAUCUCUUGUAUCGCACAAACAACAACAUAACAGCCAUUUUAAAUAGCAUGCUUGAAACGCCUGGUAUUAUGAGCCAGAUGCCUCCACUGCCUGUGUAUGCCAAUGAGAAUCUUCUGCAUUCCAUAUUGCGCUCUACUAGUCAGAUUUAAUUUUGACCACAUUGCCAUUUGGUUUAUCCAAAAUAAUUUGUGAAGUACUCAAGAUCAGAAAGAGAUCAACUCAGAUCUUGUCAGUAAACAUAACUGCAGAUGAACAUGCAUGGUGCUUCUUAUCAUACAGAAAGAACAACAAACGAUUCUUUUUUAACUUUAGUUUCCAAUUCUCAGAUCUAACAUUGUAAGAAACUAGGAAAGCUGGAAUCUGGUAGGUCGAUUGUUGUCAAAAUUAUAGGCUAUCACUGUUGGGGCCAGGUGAUGGAUCGAGGUAUCACCCUAUGUUCUUUGGGAACCAGCUGAUUUAUACUGUACCACGUACCACAGUUGGGAAACUUUCAGGCAUGAAAUGCAAGUGUGCUACAUGUCAUGCUGCUGAACAAGAAACAAACACAAAAUGUGUCGAGAUAUGGCAUAGCAGGAACUCAUGAUAUAAUUAUGAUUUUUUAUGGUUUAAUGUCAGUGUAUAGUUUGUGGCACCUCAAUUCUGGUCUGUAUACAGGAUGAGAUUGACCAAUACAUCGUGUCCAUGAAGCCAAUCAAGGUUCCUUGACUUAUUUGAUGGUCAUUUUGCAGAUUCUGAUGAUUUUUGGUUGAUGACAAGUAUUAUUAGGUCAUGAUCUAAUUGGGAUUUGGCUGGGCAAAUGUUUGUAAAUGGGAAUGAAAAGGUUGGAAAAAAGUAGUAUCUAUAUAUGCAUCUUUUAAACUUGUUCAAGGUAGCAUUUCAGCCUUUUUAUGCUUGUUUCUCUACUUGUGCCAUUUGAUCCAAAUGCCAUUCUAUUAUCCACCGUCUAGUCCGUGACGAAUCAAAAUUUUUUUUUAGAGGAGAUUUUCUCUACCAUCCAUAGUUCUCUCUUUUGCUUUCUGUUGUUACUUUUAACAAGCCUCAAAAUUAGAAGUUACAUCUGUAAAUAAAAAUGUUUGUUUCCACCUUAACUCUCUAGCAUUGUAUCUGAUACUCCGAAAUGGCUGUUUGUGAUAUGUGUGCAAUCGAGUAAUGAAUAAGCUGCUUCAGUAAUGAGCCAUUUUGAUACACAGGAUUCUGAUCAUGAACUCCUAUUGCUUGGCACAUGGACAUGGCAACAGUUAUCUCCAGGAAGAACCAAGCUGCUGGUGACCUGGUGCCACCAAGUGACCGGGUUACUGUAAGUACACAACCUUCUUAUGAAGGUGAUCAAAACUCUCUUUGAUACACCUGCCUUUCGAUAAGAGCAUAAAGAUCGCAUGCCCACACCAGAGGAGACUGAAGAGCCAGUCAAUAAGAAUCUCAAGGACCUGACACUCGUACAUAUCAAGAUUACGAUAUAGAACUUCUUUGUAAAUGCUUUUGUAACACUAACACUAUUAGGUGCUUGCAGUUCAACAAAUUCUUAGUUCUAGAGAAUAAAUAUUUAUCUUCAUAGUGUAAUAAGCUGAACGGAUAUUCAAGUACGAGUGUUUUAUCACCAAUGAAUACAGUUGGACAUCUAUGGGUGUCAUGCAAGUAA